UACGUAGGGUGCAAGCGUUAAUCGGAAUUACUUGGCGUAAAGCGUGCGCAGGCGGUUUUUUAAGUCUGACGUGAAAUCCUCGGGCUCAACCUUGGAAUUGCGUUGGAGACUGCAAGGCUAGAAUCUGGCAGAGGGGGGUAGAAUUCCACGUGUAGCAGUGAAAUGCGUAGAGAUGUGGAGGAACACCGAUGGCGAAAGCAGCCCCCUGGGUCAAGAUUGACGCUCAUGCACGAAAGCGUGGGGAGCAAACAGG
rnacentral:rRNA from 1 species